rnacentral:rRNA from 1 species
GGCGGCAUGCCUUACACAUGCAAGUCGAACGGCAGCGCGGGAGCAAUCCUGGCGGCGAGUGGCGAACGGGUGAGUAAUACAUCGGAACGUGCCCAAUCGUGGGGGAUAACGCAGCGAAAGCUGUGCUAAUACCGCAUACGAUCUACGGAUGAAAGCAGGGGACCCGCAAGGGCCUUGCGCGAAUGGAGCGGCCGAUGGCAGAUUAGGUAGUUGGUGAGGUAAAGGCUCACCAAGCCUUCGAUCUGUAGCUGGUCUGAGAGGACGACCAGCCACACUGGGACUGAGACACGGCCCAGACUCCUACGGGAGGCAGCAGUGGGAAUUUUGGACAAUGGGCGCAAGCCUGAUCCAGCCAUGCCGCGUGCAGGAUGAAGGCCUUCGGGUUGUAAACUGCUUUUGUACGGAACGAAAAGUCUCUUUCUAAUAAAGAGGGAUCAUGACGGUACCGUAAGAAUAAGCACCGGCUAACUACGUGCCAGCAGCCGCGGUAAUACGUAGGGUGCAAGCGUUAAUCGGAAUUACUGGGCGUAAAGCGUGCGCAGGCGGUUAUGU